rnacentral:rRNA from 1 species
CACGGGGGGAGCAAGCGUUGUUCGGAAUCACUGGGCGUGAAGGGCGUGUAGGCGGUCUGGUAAGUGGGAUGUGAAAGCCCCCGGCUCACCCGGGGAUCUGCAUUCCAAACUGCCAGACUUGAGUAUGGGAGAGGACGAGGGGAAUUCCUGGUGUAGACGGUGAAAUGCGUAGAUAUCAGGAGGAACACCGGUGGCGAAAGCGCCUGUCUGGCCCAAUACUGACGCUGGAUGACGGCGAAAGCUAGGGGAGCAAACGGG